GAGCCAGCUCAGCCCAGCAGUUCCAUUGACCAAAGCAUUGCUUAGAUCCCCUAAUUAUUAUUAUUAUUAUAAUUGCUUCCAGCGGUUUGAGACCUGUGGGCACUGCCCGGCUAUAUA